UGUCAUGGCGUUAAGUACCUGCUAAAACAGAAGAAAGAAGAUGGAAAGAAGAAUGAAAGAAAAAAAUAGAAGAAUGAAAUAUGCAAUGGGGUUGGUGAUCGAAAAUUUAGAAUACAUCCCACUCCUAUUUGCAGUUAUGUCAUCGGUGACGUAGGAUGGACCCAGCCUCCGCGUCUGGUAUUGAUUUCGUGACGUCACUAACACACAGAUAGAUAUUCUACACGUAACAAAAGCAAACAUCUUGCAUGAUUAUUCUCUGUUUCUUGCUAUUAGCAGAAAAAAAUAAUUUACAUAGUAAUAACAAGAUUAAUACAUAGUAAAUUCUACAAGAGGUAAAUAUAGUUACUUGUACAUAGG